rnacentral:rRNA from 2 species
AACUUUCAACAACGGAUCUCUUGGUUCUCGCAUCGAUGAAGAACGCAGCGAAAUGCGAUAAGUAAUAUGAAUUGCAGAUAUUCGUGAAUCAUCGAAUCUUUGAACGCACAUUGCGCCCUUUGGUAUUCCAAAGGGCAUGCCUGUUUGAGCGUCA